rnacentral:rRNA from 1 species
UACGGGGGGGGGGGGUGCCUAAUACUGCAAGUCGAGCGAACUGAUUAGAAGCUUGCUUCUAUGACGUUAGCGGCGGACGGGUGAGUAACACGUGGGCAACCUGCCUGUAAGACUGGGAUAACUUCGGGAAACCGAACUAAUACCGGAUAGGAUCUUCUCCUUCAUGGGAGAUGAUUGAAAGAUGGUGUCCGCUAUCGCUUACAGAUGGGCCCACGGUGCUUUAGCUAUUUAGUGAGGUAACGGCUCACCAAGGCAACGAUGCAUUGCCGACCUGAGAGGGUGAU